UACGGGGGGUGCGAGCGUUGUCCGGAAUCACUGGGCGUAAAGGGUGCGUAGGCGGGUCUUUAAGUCAGGGGUGAAAUCCUGGAGCUCAACUCCAGAACUGCCUUUGAUACUGAGGAUCUUGAGUUCGGGAGAGGUGAGUGGAACUGCGAGUGUAGAGGUGAAAUUCGUAGAUAUUCGCAAGAACACCAGUGGCGAAGGCGGCUCACUGGCCCGAUACUGACGCUGAGGCACGAAAGCGUGGGGAGCAAACAGG
rnacentral:rRNA from 1 species